ensembl:lncRNA
CUGGGGCGCACUGACAGAGGCGAGGCUGCUGGACACUGGCGCCACCUCUGACCACCACCAGUAGGUACCAGUGAAGUGUCUUGCCCAAGGACACAACGACUGAGACUGUCCAAGGCGGGGCUCGAACCGGCAACCUUCCGAUUACAAGACGAACUGUUAACUCUUGAGCCACGAUCGCCUGUUGCCUGUGUGUUUCCCAUGUCUUCAUAAGUUUUUUGUCUGUGUUAGGUGUUAGGUUUCAGUUACUUCCUGUUUUAUUUUGAUAGUUGUGUGUUCUGUGUGCCUUUGUCUUCCCUUGAUUACCUCGUGAGUAUGUUUGUGUCUUACUAUUAGUUUAUCUUCCUGUGAGUUUUCCAUUAUGUAUCACCUAAAUUUGGGGACUGGCAGCUGCUGGAUUGCUACUGAAUAAUGUCAGGGUUUUUUUGUUUUGCUUUUUUUCCAUAAUCUGAGUCUGCAUAUUGGGUUUAGAAAUCAACCAUCCAAAUUUGGAAUAACUUGUUCUUAUCAUUUGGGUGUAAUAUAUGAACAUAGCACUUCUAUUCAGAGCUGGAGUUUUUAGUGGACUAGUUACCAUUUCUGGUCAAAAGUUAACUCAUCAAAUAAUUUUUGUCUUGUCCUUUGCUUUUUCACUGGCAGCAGAAGGCUGGUCUUGCUCAGAUUACUUUGGGAGAAGGUUUCUUACCAUUUGUGUGUUUAUUCACAUGAGUGUUUAUUCAUGUUGUGUCACUGGCCUGUUGGGUUUGUCCCUGUAACAUUGUGGGUUUGUCAACUUUUCUUUCUUUUUUUUUUCAUUCGGUAUAAUAUGUGGCAGCACAGACGUGCUUCACAUCAGUGGAGCCUCUCUGUGUGGAGUUUGCAUGUUCUCCCCAUGCCUGCAUGGCCUCACACCUGGUACAGCCUCUUCGUCCCACAGUCCAAAGACAGCAAUAAUAAAUUUGGCGAAGCUGUGUAAUGGAGUGGGAAUUGUUGUCUGUCUAAGAUUCUCAGUCUACCCAACCCUUUGUUGUGUAACAACCAGUGAGAAUAAAUUGGAUAAGAAAAUGUGAUGAAUGGAUUAAAUUAUCCUCGAAGUUUAUCAUGUGUGUUGUUGUAACAUGAUUGCAGUGGUCAUCUGUGUUUUGAAGAAUUAGGAAACAGCUUACACUGUUUUCCUUUAGGUUUUUUUCCUCUUUGGCUUUGCUUCAACGCCCAUUUUUAUCAGCUUACGCUUACCUGGAAGCCACAGCAACGUAUUUCACAACAAAGUUUCUUGUUCAAGUUUUAUAAAAGCCUUACGGCACUGUCAGCCAAGAUAGGUUGUGAUCCUAAUUUGGAUAAGAAAAUGGAUGGAUGUGAGCUUUCUUUAACAAAAAAAGAAAAAAGAAACUGUCAGCAGUGCUGUACAGCUUUC